rnacentral:tRNA from 1 species
GCUGGCGUAGCUCAGUUGGUAGAGCGGUCGAUUCGUAAUCGACAGGUCGGGAGUUCAAGUCUCCCCGUCAGCUCCA